rnacentral:rRNA from 1 species
UACGUAGGGGGCAAGCGUUGUUCGGAAUUACUGGGCGUAAAGGGCGCGUAGGCGGCACGGUAAGUCGGGAAUGAAAGCCCGGGGCUCAACCCCGGAACGUCUUUCGAAACUGCCGAGCUAGAGUGCGGAAGAGGCAACUGGAAUUCCCAGUGUAGCGGUGAAAUGCGUAGAUAUUGGGAAGAACACCUGAGGCGAAGGCGGGUUGCUGGGCCGACACUGACGCUGAGGCGCGAAAGCCAGGGGA